UAGAAGUUCAGAGUUAUGGGCCUUUGGCCCUCUCUAUGUUACAGUACUUCAAUAACGUCUGCUAAAAUCAAAGUGAAUGGAGUGCACCUGCAUUAUCAGCAGACAGGACAAGGAGAUCAUGCAGUUCUGCUGCUUCCUGGAAUGUUAGGGAGCAGUCAAAGUGAUUUUGGACCACAGCUCAAAUCUAUGAACAAGCAGCUGUUCACAAUAGUAGCCUGGGAUCCUCGAGGCUAUGGACAUUCUAUCCCUCCAGUUCGAGACUUUCCGCCUGAUUUUUUUGAAAGGGAUGCAAGAGAUGCUGUUGAUCUGAUGCAGGCACUGAAGUUUAAGAAGUUCUCUUUGCUGGGAUGGAGUGACGGUGGGAUUACAGCACUCAUAGCAGCUGCGAAACAUCCAGCCCUUAUCUACAAGUUAGUUGUUUGGGGAGCAAAUGCUGUUGUUACUCAGGAGGAUCUGAAGCUUUACAAUGGUGGAGCAAGCUACGAGAUUUCUGAACCUGGCAAACAACUAUCCGAGAUGUUUCAAAAUGGAGUGAAAAGGUCAGGAAACCAAUGGAAGAAAUGUAUGGACAUGAAUACUUUGCAAAAACAUGUGAGGCCUGGGUGGAUGGAAUAUCUCAGUUUGCUGACAAGGCAGAUGGUAACAUUUGUCAACAUUUACUGCCUCAUAUAAAGUGUCCAACAUUUAUAAUACAUGGUGGGAAAGACCCUUUGGUACCACAGUUGCAUGCAGAAUAUCUUCACAAACACAUCAAAGAGUCCCGGUUGUUUCUGAUGCCAGAAGGAAAGCACAAUCUACAUUUACGAUUUGCAGAAGAGUUCAACAAAGUAGUAGAAAAUUUCCUACGACAGACUUAGUUUGUUAAACUCAAUUAUGUACUAAACAGUCUAUGUAUGAUUAUUUUAGUGUAUUUAAAUUAUAUUCCCCGUCCAGGCCGUAUUCCUGUUAUGAUACUGAUUUUAUUUAGUUUGAUUCUCCAUUAUUAGAAAAUGUAAAAGGACAUCUCAUUUAUGCUAGUUAGAGGUAAAUUAAGAUACCUACUGUGUCUUGCUUGAUAAUUGAGACGCUCCUGGCAGAGCUGAAUUUGUCUAACAAGAGUAAUAGUGAAGUAGCAUUAAAUCUGUGCUUUACUUGA